GACGAACGCUGGCGGCGUGCCUAAUACAUGCAAGUUGAGCGCUGAAGGUUGGUACUUGUACCAACUGGAUGAGCAGCGAACGGGUGAGUAACGCGUGGGGAAUCUGCCUUUGAGCGGGGGACAACAUUUGGAAACGAAUGCUAAUACCGCAUAAAAACUUUAAACACAAGUUUUAAGUUUGAAAGAUGCAAUUGCAUCACUCAAAGAUGAUCCCGCGCUGUAUUAGCUAGUUGGUGAGGUAAAGGCUCACCAAGGCGAUGAUACAUAGCCGACCUGAGAGGGUGAUCGGCCACAUUGGGACGGAGACACGGCCCAAACUCCUACGGGAGGCAGCAGUAGGGAAUCUUCGGCAAUGGACGAAAGUCUGACCGAGCAACGCCGCGUGAGUGAAGAAGGUUUUCGGAUCGUAAAACUCUGUUGGUAGAGAAGAACGUUGGUGAGAGUGGAAAGCUCAUCAAGUGACGGUAACUACCCAGAAAGGGACGGCUAACUACGUG
rnacentral:rRNA from 1 species